GACGUAGGGCGCAAGCGUUUGUCCGAAUUUAUUGGGCGUAAAGAGCUCGUAGGCGGCUUGUUGCGUCGACUGUGAAAUCCCGAGGCUCAACCUCGGGUCUGCAGUCGAUACGAGCAAACUAGAGUGUUGCAGGGGAGACUGGAAUUCCUGGUGUAGCGGUGAAAUGCGCAGAUAUCAGGAGGAACACCGGGUGGCGAAAGGCGGAUCUCUGGGCAACAACUGACGCUGAGGAGCGAAAGCGUGGGGAGCGAACAGG
rnacentral:rRNA from 1 species